rnacentral:tRNA from 1 species
GCGGAGGGGGAGGUCCGGGGCGCGGCCCCGCGUACGUGGCGCGGCGGCCCCGCGUUCAUGGCGCGGCCCCGCGUUCAUGGCGCGGCCCCGCGUAC